UACAGAGGUCCCAAGCGUUGUUCGGAUUCACUGGGCGUAAAGGGUGCGUAGGUGGUCGGGUAAGUCUGAUGUGAAAUCUCCGAGCUCAACUCGGAAAUGGCAUUGGAUACUAUCUGGCUAGAGGAGUGGAGGGGGGACUGGAAUACUUGGUGUAGCAGUGAAAUGCGUAGAUAUCAAGUGGAACACCAGUGGCGAAGGCGAGUCCCUGGACACUUCCUGACACUGAGGCACGAAAGCUAGGGGAGCAAACAGG
rnacentral:rRNA from 1 species